CGUGGCUUCAGCUUCGAGAGGUGUCCUUCUUCUUCUUCUUCUCCUCCUCACUUCCCGCUAUACACUCUUCUGCUCAUGCUCGGUAUUCUGCUGAAUUUUUCUGUUUCUCUCUGUGAAGCGGAGCUUCCUGUGUGUUUGGACUGGGUUAUCACUUUCCUGUGAAAGGGCACCUCGUGAGCUUCAUGGGAAGCUUGCUGAGAGAUCCGGGCUUUAAUUUUCGAAGCGCCAGAUUGGAUUCUGCUGUUCCCGUCUUCUGAUUCAGAGACGGCCACCAUUUUUUUAGGGAUUUAAGGGGACUACAAAUGAGGUUUUGAUUCUAGCAUUUUGUUUUUUUGUGGAAAGAGGGGUUCCUUUGUGUUUUCCCUUACGUGCUGAAGCUGGGUUGAGCUUGUUGCAGUUUGCAUUGGAGUUUUCUUUUGGCUGCUAAUUAGGAUUCAGUUGGAGUAGCAUUUGGUUUGAAUGCUACCUUCAACUUACCCAGGUUUUUUGGGAUGGGUGAUUGGAAGUGUUUCGGUGAUGGAUUUUCUUCGUUUCUCAUGUUCUAAUUGGAGGAAAGUCGACGAGGUUUGGAAGUAAAUGUUUGAAAUGGGUUGGUUUAAAUAGAGUUAGAAUUUAACUUACCUACUUUAAAAUAGAAGGACCUCUCUUUGCCUAAACUGCGGGGUAUUUGGAAUUUAUAUAUCGUAAUUGCAGAGGUUGGAGCUUUCGUUGUCUGAUUCAUAUGCAAUAUAUUUAGAUUUGUUUCCUCAAUUAUCAAGAAAUUUCCCUACCAAAUGCAUUUGUAUUCUCAUCAUGACUAGAGCUGUCCGCGCUAGAAUUCUCAAGGAAGCAAAUGGUGAUAUUAGCGAUCAUCUGCGUAACCACAUUCACUUGACAAACUGCAUUCACUUGAAGAAUCACAUGCACAAGCACAGCCCCAUCUUGGCUGAGAGGUCUCUUAUGAGGGACCUCAUUGUCCUUCAGAGGUCGCGAUCUCUCAGGGACCCUUCUGCAAGUCCUCCCUCAUGGCAGUCUCCCUCAUUAACUGAUCUGCCACCGAGGGUGGGUGAAAAUAAUGCUGUGAUUCGUGAAGGAAGAAGGUCAGUAGGAACUGAGAGUCGAAGGGUAGGUAGAACAAUGUCAGGAAGUUCUCCACUCUCGGGAAGUUUUGCCACAUCAAAAGUCAUUCCGGCUGAUAUGAAUGUGGGUAUUGACAGGGUGACAGCAGUUAGUGAGCACAGUGUUAAGAGUGAAAUCCAAGAUGGUCGACGAAUUCGGAGAGAAGAGUUAAGUCGGAGGAGUGUUGGAAACAGUGUCUUGGAUGGCAAUGCAGAAUCAUCACCUGUUCAAGAUGCAUAUCUUCUGCACGAGAUUAUUUUUAGGAAAUCAGAAUCUAAAGAUAGGAGUGAACAGAAGGAUAAGCAGGUCAAGGGCAUUCCAUUUAAGAAACUAUCGGAGCAACUGAUUUCUGCUCCUAUACAUAGUGAGGACAUUGCGUCUUCAAGUGCUAAUGUAUAUGGGAGACGAUCUCAGCAAGAGAAAUUCAUUGAUGAACCUGAACCCAGCUUCCGUGGAAACUGCAGUGGAUUGGAUAGGGUAAAAAGGCGAAGAUUUCGAGCUACAAGGAGAAGUCAUAUGAAUUUAACUUCCAGAGACACUGGGGUUCACAAUGAAUUGUCUGUAGCUUCUAAUACAUUAGCUCAUGGUUCAUCUCAUUCAAAGCAUAAAAUGGAAGAGGAAAAUGAAAAUUAUGCCAACAAAAAUGUCAUGGGUGCUCCUGGAAAUGGGUGUGGAAUGCCUUGGAAUUGGUCAAGAAUUCAUCAUAGGGGGAAAACUUUUUUAGACAUGGCUGGAAGGAGUUUCUCUUGUGGCCUGUCAGACUCAAUGUUAAGAAAAUGCAGUCCAACUGCACAUGGGAACUGUAUUUCUGACACAUCCAUUGCAUCUGAUAACUCAAGCUCAUCUGCGAAGUUUGAUGCCGAGGCACUACCUUUACUGGUUGAGGCCUCUGGGUCCCAGGAAAGCAUUGAAAAUGCUGGCUGGCAACGAGAUUACUCUGGGGAAUUGGGAAUAUUUGCUGAUAAUUAUGUUGAACAUGAAGAGGAUUCCGACCUUGCUUCAGAAGCAAGGUGUAGUAACCGAAGAAGAACGCAAGGCCACUAUCCUCGUUCUAGACAUCAAAAUCUGACACAAAAAUACAUGCCACGAACAUUCAAAGGUUUGGUGGGACAAAAUUUAGUAGCCCAAGCUCUUUCAAAUGCUGUCUUGAAGAAGAAGGUGGGGUUACUAUAUGUGUUUUAUGGUCCUCAUGGUACAGGAAAAACAUCCUGUGCUCGCAUAUUUGCUAGAGCAUUGAACUGCCAGUCUUUGGAACAUUCCAAACCCUGUGGGUUAUGCAAUUCUUGCAUUGGAGAUGACGUGGGAAAGAGCAGGAAUAUAAGGGAAGUUGUUCCUGCGAGUAAUCUAGACUUUGAGAGCAUUAACGAACUACUUGACCAUAUGAUAGCUUCUCGGCUCCCAUCACAGUAUACAGUGUUCAUUUUUUAUGAUUGUGACAGCUUUUCCUCUAAUUGCUGGAGUGCCAUCACAAAGGUCAUUGACCGAGCACCUCGACGUCUAGUUUUUGUUUUUGUCUGUUCAAGUCCAGAUGUUUUACCUCAUAUAAUCAUAUCCAGGUGCCAGAAAUUUUUUUUCCCAAAGCUGAAGGAUGCUGAUGUCAUCCGUACUUUGCAGUGGAUUGCUACCCAAGAAAAUUUAGAAAUUGAUAAAGAUGCACUAAAACUUAUCGCAUCAAGAUCUGAUGGAUCAUUGAGGGAUGCCGAAAUGACUCUUGAGCAGCUCAGUUUACUUGGCCAGAGAAUUUCUGUUCCUCUAAUUCAGGAGCUAGUUGGGCUCAUUUCUGACGAAAAAUUGGUGGAUCUUCUUGAUCUAGCUCUAUCUGCUGAUACUGUAAACACUGUGAAAAACUUGAGGCUGAUAAUUGAAAGUGGUGUGGAGCCAAUGGCAUUGAUGUCACAAAUUGCAACUGUAAUUACUGAUAUUCUUGCUGGUAGUUAUGAUUUCAAAAAAGAAAGACCUCGAAGGAAGUUUUUCCGACGUCAACCAUUAUCCAAAGAAGAUAUGGAAAAGCUACGUCAAGCUCUGAGAACAUUGUCUGAAGCUGAGAAGCAAUUAAGAAUGUCGAAUGAUAAAUUAACCUGGCUUACAGCUGCAUUACUUCAACUUGCUCCUGAUCAGCAGUAUAUGUUAUCCAGUUCUGCGGAGACUAGCUUUAACCACAGUCCCUUGGCCCUGAAUAAUGUGAAUGGCAGGGGUUUAUCAAGGAACGCUGACCAGCUUGCUGAAAUACCUCAGAAAGGAUUGUCAACAGAUUUAUAUGACAAUAGAAUGGCCGAAGGCAUCAGUUUAGACAAAAAAAGACAUUCUGGAGUUGGUGUGGCUCCUCAGCAGACAAUUGCAAGCGCUGAUGAUUUAAUCAAGUCUAGUGGAAAGCAGGUUUCUGGUAAAGAUAUUGAAGAAAUUUGGUUGGAGGUGCUAGGAAAAAUUCGGAGAAAUAGUAUUAAAGAAUUUUUUAUUCAAGAAGGGAAGCUUGCAUCAGUGAGUUUUGGUGCAGCACCAACUGUGCGCUUGAUAUUCAAUUCACAUCAUGCAAAAUCAAAAGCAGAGAAAUUGAGAGAGCAAAUCUUACAAGCAUUUGAGUCUGCUCUUGGGUCAUCAGUGAUAAUUGAAUUUAGAUGUGAAUUGAAAAAUCAUUCAUCAGUUACUCUACCUGCCUCCAAGAAUGGUUUGUUACAUAUUAGGGACAUGAGCAGUUGUGAGCCUCAAGCUCAGUUAUCACACUACGGUUCCGGUGAAGUUGGAAGAGGUGAAAUUGUUGAAAUAGAUGCUUUACCAAGGGUAGCCCAUAAUCAAAGAGAAUCGAAUCAUAGGAAUUUGGAAGGUUCACAGGGAGAAGUAUCAGUCUCACGCAGGAACUCGACCAUGUCAUCAAUUUCAGAAACAAGAGAAGGUGGAGCUCAAAGUCAGAGUCAAAGUAUUGUGAGAAGCAAAGUAUCUCUGGCACAUGUUAUUCAGCAGGCAGAAGGAUGUUCACAGAGAAAUGGACGGUCCAAACACAAGACUGUAUCUAUAGCUGAAGAACUUGAGCAGGAAAACUUGAGACUUGAACCUCAAUCAAGAAGCUUAUUAUGCUGGAAAGCAUCUAGAGUUACUCAAAGAAAGCUUUCACGGUUAAAAAUCAGAACUCGAAGGCCACAGUCAUUGCUGAAAUUCGUCUCGUGUGGGAAAUGUCUCUCUGCUUAGUUGGGCAAGGUUUCAUUUUCACUCCCAUCUUCCUCAGGAUGUGUGGUAGCUUUCCUACCCAUGCCAUGAGGAAUUGAACAGGAGCCCCAGUUAACCUUAUAACAUAAUGAAUAUUGAGCAUAUGUAUAUACUUUUCCUCCAGGAAUCCAUGAAUAUGAUGAUGCAAGUAAACGUGGGGAAAUUAGUCUUUCUUCUUCCAGAGCAUUUGCACAGAAUACACAAGUAGUUCUAACUUGCUCUUCCUUUUCAGGAUGCCAAGCAAUUCUAUACCUUCAAACAAUCACAGUGCAUGAGAACUGCUUUUGGUAUAUAAACAAAGCUUCUCUGCUGCUACAUACACUCACUAACCGUUAAAGUUCUUCGUUGAAGGCUUGAAACAUUAUUGGCUCCAGGCUGCCGUCAAGUGGGGUGAAAUUGAGUGUACAAGAACUGUUUUUCAAUAUUUUUGUAUAAGAAUAGUAAUACAACAUUUGUCUGCAAGUUAUACAACAAGUUUAUUAGAAAGUGUUAUCCAAUGGGCUUGAAAAGUCUUAAAAGAAUUUGAAAUCUAAGAAGCAAACCAUUGGUUCUAAAAGUACCACUUAGGAACCAUACAAGAGGAAGAGUGGACACCACAACUUUCAACCGCCAACAUCCAACAUUGACUGAUAUGAAAUUGUCUAUUAAUAGUUCGAUUGAAGCUUAUCAGGGACGAUUAUUCACUAAAACCACUUUCUGGAGAGCUAUUUCUUGCCAUAAUCUGCAAGAAGAUCACAGCACUUGUUGAGUGAAGCUGAAAAGCAAUGGUCAAAUUGUCACAUCGUCUAUGUAUGACUCUGAGGCUACGUAGGUCGUUGGACUAUUUCAACUACUGCAUGCCCAUUAUAUUGUCGACUCAACAAAACUAGUACCCUCCACCAACUGAUAGAGAUUCAUUCAUGCGGAAGUCCCCACAAGGGUUUGUCUUCAUCAUCUUCAUACUGAAUAUGAUCAUAUAUUUGGUUUCCUGUCUCGCUUAUUCUUUAUUAUGAACUGUGAUUUUACAUGUACUUUUAAACUAACCUUUACCAACUACUAAUUAUAGGUCUAGAAAACAUUCUUUCCUGUAGAUCAAAACCAAAUCAACUUUAAUGCUUGAUAGGGGUAACCUCAGAGUGCAAUGGAGCAAUCUACUUGGCGAAAGCCACUCUUCAUUUUAAGCCCAGAAAAGGUUCAUAAUCUCCAUGGGAAAAUUUACAGCCCUCCGGCUGAAGCCAGUUAACUUACUAAAUUACUUGUAUUCAGCUUUAGACUAAAGGCAAAAGUCGGAACAUCUAUAAGUGAUGGAAAAAAACAAUAAAGCUGAAAGACAGGAAACCCAAUAAAAUUCCAUCACCAAAGUUUGACAAGGAUUUCCCAGAAACAGUUCAAUCCAAAACUAGAACUAAGGGCUCUCCUAGUUGAUAUAUGGCGUUAAAUGUAGAAAAGAAACCCCUUUUUUCCCCAUGUCUGCCUUCUCAACAGGUGUUUGUGAUAAUGACACACAGCCAACUGCCAAUUCUUAUACCUUCUGUGAGUUGGAGCCUAUAUGCACUAGGCGAGAUGAAAAUUAAGGAAAUAGGUUCCUUUUCUUUUUCUGUUGUCCUGUUUUUUUUUUUUUAAGUUUCCUUUUAAUUCCUUGUUAUAUUGAAAACUGUCCACAAAAGUGAUAAAAAGUGGGCAAGUGGUCACAGGAUUUAUGGCGGGCCUUUCUUUUGAAAAAACAGCAAAAA